rnacentral:rRNA from 1 species
UACAGAGGGGGCGAGCGUUGUUCGGAAUUACUGGGCGUAAAGGGCGCGUAGGCGGCCUUCUAAGUCGAACGUGAAAUCCCCGGGCUCAACCCGGGAACUGCGUCCGAUACUGGGAGGCUUGAAUCCGGGAGAGGGAUGUGGAAUUCCAGGUGUAGCGGUGAAAUGCGUAGAUAUCUGGAGGAACACCGGUGGCGAAGGCGGCAUCCUGGACCGGUAUUGACGCUGAGGCGCGAAAGCCAGGGGGAGCAAAC